rnacentral:rRNA from 1 species
CACCGCGGUUAUACGAGAGACCCAAGUUGAUAAAUCCGGCGUAAAGAGUGGUUAUGGAAGACACAAAACUAAAGCUGAAGACCCCCUAGGCUGUUAUACGCACCUGGAGGCUCGAACCCCUAAUACGAAAGUAGCUUUAUUACUCACCAGAACCCACGACAGCUGGGGCA